rnacentral:misc_RNA from 1 species
GAUGACGCUCGGCGAAGUCAGGUCGGAACCCUCUGCCGGUAGUUAGCCGGUAUUCCCAUGCAGGGAAGCCGCGCCGUUCACGGCGCGGAGGAUGUCACCGAGUGGGCU